rnacentral:rRNA from 1 species
UAAGAAUUUAAAAGUCGAACAGACUUAUUACUAAGAACACUGCCUCUUAGCAUUUUCUUAAUUCAACAUCGAGGUCGCAAAAUAUAAUAUAGAUAAGAACUCCCCAUUAAAAUAACGCUGUUAUCCCUAAGGUAACUUAAUCUUACUAUCCUUUUUACUAAGGGAUCUGAAAUUACAUAAAUAAUGAAAGUUAUAACUAAAGUUUAAUUAUUUAGUUGCCACCCCAGCAAAAUAUAAAAUCAACAUUAAAAAGUGUAUUAAACAAAAAUUAAUAACACAGAAUUUAUAUCAAGUUCUAUAGGGUCUUAUCGUCCCAAUAACUCAAUAAAGCAUUUUAACUUUAAAUUUAAAUUUUAAUAGUUAAAGAAAUAAAAUAUAAUUCUCAUACAUCCAUUCAUACAAGCUUCCAAUUAAAAAACUAAUUACUAUGCUACCUUUGCACAGUCAAAAUACUGCGGCCAUUUAGAAAUUUAAACCAUAGGGCAGAAGAUACUUUUUUUAGAACCA